CAAAAAGGCCAAUCAAACUGAGAGAUAGCUCGUUCUCCCCGAAAUGUUUUUAGGAACAGCGUCGCAUACAGAGGUCUGUGAGAGGUAGAGCUACUGAUUGGGCUAGGGGGCUUCACCGCCUGCCAAACCCUGACAAACUCCGAAUGCUCACAGAUAUCUGCGGCAGUGAGGCUGCGGGCGCUAAGGUCCGUGGCCGAGAGGGAAAUAACCCAGAUUAGCGGCUAAGGUCCCCAAUACAUGGUUAAGUUGAGCAAACGAGGUGGGAUUUCCAUGACAGCCAGGAUGUUUGCUUGGAAGCAGCCAUUCAUUUAAAGAGUGCGUAACAGCUCACUGGUCGAGAGGUCCUGCACGGAAAAUGAUCGGGCAUCAAACCAUGAACCGAAGCCCUAAACUCCAUAUUUAUAUGGAUUGGUAGGGGAGCAUUGAAAACGGCGCUGAAGGUGUGCGGUGACGCAUGCUGGUGCGUUUUCAAACGAAAAUGUAGGCAUAAGUAACGAUAAGGGGAGUGAAAAACUCCCCCGCCGUAAGACUAAGGGUUCCUGAUCAACGUUAAUCGGAUCAGGGUUAGCCGGGACCUAAGGCAGAGCCGAAAGGCGCAGUCGAUGGAGAGCUGGUCAAAAUUCCAGCGCAUGCCGCGCGUUAAAAGGGACGGAGAGGCGUACCUGGCACGGACUGACGGAAUAGUCCGUAGAGGCGAAGCUUCGGCGGAGCCGAGACAGGGAACCCGCUUCCAAGAAAAGCGAGCGCGGCAUCCCGUACCGUAAACCGACACAGGUAGUCGGGAAGAAUAUUCCAAGGCGCUCGGGUGAGCCGUGGAGAAGGAACUAGGCAAAUUGACGCUGUAACUUCGGGAUAAGGCGUUCCCGCUUCUGGCGGGACACAGUAAAUUGGCGCAACCAACUGUUUAACAAAAACACAGGGCCCUGCAAAAUCGCAAGAUGACGUAUAGAGCCUGAUACCUGCCCGGUGCCAGAAGGUUAAGGAAGGAUGUUCGCAGCGAUGCAAAGCUUCUGACUGAAGCCCCGGUAAACGGCGGCCGUAACUAUAACGGUCCUAAGGUAGCGAAAUUCCUUGUCGGGUAAGUUCCGACCUGCACGAAUGGUCUAAUGAGUUGCGCACUGUCUCCUCCACGAGCCCGGUGAAAUUGUAGUAUCGGUGAAGAUGCCGGUUACCCGUCACGGGACGGAAAGACCCCAUGAACCUUCACUAUAGCUUUGCGUUGAUUUUGAGCAACCGGUGUGUAGGAUAGUUGGGAGGCUUUGAAGUGGUGUCGCCAGGCAUCAUGGAGCCGACGUUGAAAUACCAACCUCCUGUUGCUUAGAACCUAACCCCUUGCGGGGGACAUUGCAUGGUGGGUAGUUUGACUGGGGUGGUCGCCUCCUAAAAAGUAACGGAGGCUUGCAAAGGUUCCCUCAGUACGGUUGGUAAUCGUACGCAGAGCCU
rnacentral:rRNA from 1 species